rnacentral:tRNA from 1 species
GAGAGCAUGGUGAAAUGGUAUCACGGCAAUUUCCAAAAUUGUAAUUAUGGGUUCGAUUCCUUUUGCUCUUG